rnacentral:tRNA from 1 species
GAGGGUAUAGCUCAAGUGGUAGAGUGCAUACUUAGCAUGCUUAAGGUCCUGGGUUCAAUCCCCAGUACCUCCU